AUAGGAAAAAAUAUUUAGUGAAGUGCAGGAGGAUACAAGUAAGAAUAACAGAUUUCAGCUGUGCAGGUUGAAAUGCAACCUGGACAAGCAGAACAAGCACCUUAAUUAUAAAAUUCACUAAAUUAUUAGAAGGUUUCUCAGGGAACAUAGUAAAAGUACCAUUAUUGACUGUGAAGAAGGAUAAUCUAUAAGUAAUGUCUCCCUGGAAAAGGCUAAUUUAGAUAAUAUAAUGUGUUUGUUUUUUUUAAUCAUGUUUUGAAGUUUUUUGAAUGAAGAAAAUAUUAGUGGAAACCUCUGACCUCUCUGACUUAUCUCUGUGCAAUAUGAAGAUGAUGCUUAGAAAUGAACAAGAUCACAAUGAACAUGACUGCAAUGUAAUUUCCAGCAUGUGCAACUCUGCAUGGACUGCUUUCCCUCUUCUGACUUUGAAAAGAGUAGAGAGCACAGUAGCAAGGCAUAGUCAGGAAACGCUGCUGCCAGAAGUCCUCGCAAGUCCCUAAAGGACCUGGAGGACAGCUAUCAAGUCCUGGUUCAAGAAUUGCUCCUAAAGCUUGCUCUGUGUGUUUGCCCAAUGAAGAGCAUGACAUACAGGAGCCCUUCGCACUUCUUCAUUGUCCAGAGACAAUGCAAACCUGAAUCUGUCCAGGUAUUCCCACCAAAAUGAGCCACCUGCUGUGAGAUCAGUAU